rnacentral:rRNA from 1 species
GGUAGGGUAAAGGCCUACCAAGACUAUGAUGUGUAGCUGGACUGAGAGGUUGAACAGCCACAUUGGGACUGAGACACGGCCCAAACUCCUACGGGAGGCAGCAGUAGGGAAUUUUCGGCAAUGGAGGAAACUCUGACCGAGCAACGCCGCGUGAACGAUGAAGUAUUUCGGUAUGUAAAGUUCUUUUAUUGAAGAAGAAAAAAUAGGGGAAAAACUAUCUUGACGCUAUUCAAUGAAUAAGCCCCGGCAAACUAUGUGCCAGCAGCCGCGGUAAUACAUAGGGGGCGAGCGUUAUCCGGAAUUAUUGGGCGUAAAGGGUGCGUAGGCGGUUUAAUAAGUCUAUAGUUUAAUUUCAGUGCUUAACACUGUCCUGCUGUAGAAACUAUUAAACUAGAGUGAGAUAGAGGCAAGUGGAAUUCCAUGUGUAGCGGUAAAAUGCGUAAAUAUAUGGAGGAACACCAGAGGCGUAGGCGGCUUGCUGGGUCUUUACUGACGCUGAGGCACGAAAGCGUGGGGAGCAAACAGGAUUAGAUACCCUGGUAGUCCACGCCGUAAACGAUGAGUACUAAGUGUCGGGGUUACUCGGUACUGAAGUUAACACAUUAAGUACUCCGCCUGAGUAGUACGUACGCAAGUAUGAAACUUAAAGGAAUUGACGGGACUCCGCACAAGCGGUGGAUCAUGUUGUUUAAUUCGAAGAUACACGAAAAACCUUACCAGGUCUUGACAUACUCUGCAAAGCUAUAGCAAUAUAGUGGAGGUUAUCAGGGAUACAGGUGGUGCAUGGUUGUCGUCAGCUCGUGUCGUGAGAUGUUAGGUUAAGUCCUAAAACGAGCGCAACCCUUGUCACUAGUUGCCAGCAUGUUAUGAUGGGCACUUUAGUGAGACUGCCAAUGAAAAAUUGGAGGAAGGUGAGGAUCACGUCAAAUCAUCAUGCCCCUUAUGAUCUGGGCUACAAACGUGAUACAAUGGCUGUUACAAAGAGUAGCUGAAACGCAAGUUCAUAGCCAAUCUCAUAAAAGCAG